rnacentral:rRNA from 1 species
GGAAGGAUCAUUAUUGAAAUAAAUCUGAUGGGUUGUUGCUGGUUCUCUAGGGAGCAUGUGCACGCCUUGUCAUCUUUAUAUCUCCACCUGUGCACCUUUUGUAGACCUUUCAGGUCUAUGUUGCUUCAUUUACCCCAAUGUAUGUUAAUAGAAUGUUGUGCCUAUAUACAAUAUAUACAACUUUCAGCAACGGAUCUCUUGGCUCUCGCAUCGAUGAAGAACGCAGCGAAAUGCGAUAAGUAAUGUGAAUUGCAGAAUUCAGUGAAUCAUCGAAUCUUUGAACGCACCUUGCGCUCCUUGGUAUUCCGAGGAGCAUGCCUGUUUGAGUGUCAUUAAUAUAUAUAUAUCAACCUUCUCUUGUGGAAUGGUUUGGAUGUGGGGGUUUGCUGGGUUUCAUAUAUAUAUAUAUGGGUUCAGCUCUCCUGAAAUGCAUUAGCAGAACGACCUGUUCAUUUGGUGUGAUAACUAUCUACGCUAUUGAAUGUGAGGGGCAGUUCAGCUUUCCAACAGUCCUCUUGGACAACUCAUCAUUAAUGUGACCUCAAAUCAGGUAGGACUACCCGCUGAACUUAAGCAUAUCAAUAAGCGGAGGAAAAGAAACUAACAAGGAUUCCCCUAGUAACUGCGAGUGAAGCGGGAAAAGCUCAAAUUUAAAAUCUGGCGGUCUUUUGGCUGUCCGAGUUGUAAUCUAGAGAAGUGUUAUCCGCGCUGGACCGUGUACAAGUCUCCUGGAAUGGAGCAUCAUAGAGGGUGAGAAUCCCGUCUUUGACAUGGACUGCCAGGGCUUUGUGAUGCGCUCUCAAAGAGUCGAGUUGUUUGGGAAUGCAGCUCAAAAUGGGUGGUAAAUUCCAUCUAAAGCUAAAUAUUGGCGAGAGACCGAU